rnacentral:rRNA from 1 species
ACCUUUAAUAAUAGAUCUCUUAGCUCUAGUAUCGAUAACGAAUAUAGCGAAAUACGAUAUAUAAUAUAAAUUAUAGAAUUUAGUAAAUUAUCGAAUCUUUAAAUAUAUAUAGUACCUUCUAAUAUCCUAGGAGGUAUACCUAUCCGAGCAUUAUUUUAACCCUUAAGCCCUAAUAGCUUAGUAUUAAGGAUCUACGUUUAUAAGCCCUUAAAAGUAAUAAUAGACCUAUAUAGCCCUUCCUUAUAUAGUAGUUAUAGCUUAUAUCGGAGUCCUAUAGGCGCUUACCUUUAAACCCCCUAUAAGCUUGCCUUAUAUAGUAAUAGUUAACCUCGGAUUAAAUAGGAAUACUUAUUAAAUUUAAGUAUAUUAAUAAGCGGAGGAAAAGGAAUUAAUAGGGAUUACUUUAAUAAUAGCGAGUAAAGUAGUAAUAGCUUAAAUUUAAAAUCUAGCUCUUUUAGGGUCCGAGUUAUAAUUUAUAGAGGAUACUUCGAGUUAUAGUUCCUUCCGAGUUCCCUAGAAUAGGACGCUAUAGAGGGUAAGAGCCCUAUUUAAUAGGAAACUAUACUUAUAUAAAGCUCCUUUAACGAGUCGAGUAGUUUAGGAAUAUUAUUCUAAAGGGAAAUAUACUCCUUCUAAAGCUAAAUAUUAAUUAAAGACCGAUAAUAUAUAAAUAGAGUAAUCGAAAGAUAAAAAAUACUUUAAAAAGAGAAUUAAAUAAUAUAUAAAAUUAUUAAAAGGGAAGUACUUAUUACUAGAUAUAGGUUUAGUAGUUUAAUUAGGUCUAUAACCUAAGGUACUCUAUUAGCUUAAGCUAGUAUUAGCUUUCUAUUAAGGGUAAAAGUAUCGGGAAUAUAGCUCUCUUUUAAGGGAAUAUUAUAGCUUAUCGUAUUAUACCCUUUAAAGGGCUAAGGUAUACGCUCUAUAAAGAUAUUAAUAUAAUAGUAGGUAAUAACCUAUCUUAAAAUAUAGAUUAAGGAAUUAACCUUACAUAUAAAUACUUAGGUAUAAAACCCUAAUAUAGAAUAAAAGUAAAUAUAAGUAAGAGCUUUAGCAUAUUAUUAAUUAAUCUUAAUAUCCUUAGAUAGAUUUAAAUAAGAGUAUAUAAAAUUAGACCUAAAAGAAGAUAAAUUAUAUAUAUAUAGAGUAAAGCUAGAGGAAACUCUAAUAGAGGCUUAUAGCGGUUCUAAUAUAUAAAUCGAUUAUUAAAUAUAUAUAUAAGAGCGAAAGAUUAAUCGAAUCUUCUAAUAGUUAGUUUCCGCUAAAGUUUCCUUUAAGAUAAUAAUAUUUAUCCUAUUUUUAUAAAAUAAAGCGAAUAAUUAAAGAUUUAGGGGCGCUAUUUAGUUUUUAUCUAUUCUUAAACUUUAAAUAUAUAAGAAGUCUUUAUUAUUUUAUUAAAUAUAGACGUUAAAAUAAAAUAAUAUUAAUAAACUAUUUUUAAUAAAUAGAAUUAGCGAUAUAGGAUAAACUAAAUACGAGGUUAAAGUAUUAGAGUAGAUAUUUAUUAAAUAGUAUAAAAAGUAUUAAUAUAUCUUAAUAAUAGGAUAAUAGCUAUAGAAGUCGGAAUCUAUUAAGGAUUAUAUAAUAACUUAUUUAUUAAAUAUAUUAGCCUUAAAAAUAGAUAGCGCUUAAGCGUCCUACUUAUACCUCGCCCUUAAUAUAGGCUUAGCGUAUCGAGGGGUAAGUAGAUAUAGAGGUCGGUAAUAAAGUCUAGGACGUAAGUCCGAGUAGAACGGCCUCUAAUAUAGAUCUUAAUAAUAAUAAUAAAUAUUUUAAUAAGAACUUAAAGGAUUAAAGUAGGGAAAGGUUCUAUAUAAAUAGUAAUUAGAUAUAAAUUAAUCGAUCCUAAGCUAUAAAAAAGUUCUAUUUUAAAGGGGCGCUUUUACUCUAUAUAGCGAAAGGGAAAUUAAUUAAUAUUCUAAUAAUUAGAUAUAGGUUUUAUAUAAUAAUAUAACCGAAUACGGAGACGAUAGUAGGGGCCCUAGGAAGAGUUCUCUUUUCUUCUUAAUAAUCUAUUACCCUAGAAUCGGUUUAUCCGGAGAUAGGGUUUAAUAGUCGGAAGAGCUUAGCGCUUUUAUUAAAUUUAGUAUAUCCUCGAUAUCCCUUAAAAAUCCGUAGGAGGGAAUAAUUCUUAUACGAGGUUAUACUUAUAACUAUAAUAGGUCUCUAAGGUAAAUAGCCUCUAGUUAAUAGAAUAAUAUAGAUAAGGGAAGUUAGUAAAAUAGAUCUAUAAUUUUGGGAAAAGGAUUAGCUCUAAGGAUCGGGUAUAUUAGGCCUUAAAUAGACGGUUUAAUAGCGGGAGGUUACUAGCUAGGUAAUUAGCUAGAGGCUCUUUAUUACUUAGCUCGAUGCUCUUAGUAAGCUUCGGCCGUUUAGUAUAUAUUUAACGAUUAACUUAGAAUUAAUAUAGAUAGGGGGAAUCUAAUUAUUUAAUUAAAAUAUAGUAUUAUAAUAGCUAGAAAGUAAUAUUAACGUAAUAUAAUUUCUACUUAGUACUCUAAAUAUUAAAAUAAAGUAAUUUAACUAAGUAUAGGUAAAUAGUAGGAGUAAUUAUAACUCUCUUAAAAUAGCUAAAUAUUUUAUUAUCUAAUUAAUAAUAUAUAUAAAUAGAUUAACGAGAUUCCUACUAUCCCUAUCUACUAUCUAGCGAAACUAUAAUUAAAGGAACGGGCUUAGUAGAAUUAAUAGGGAAAGAAGACCCUAUUAAGCUUAACUCUAAUUUAAUAUUAUAAAAAGAUAUAGGAGGUAUAGAAUAAGUAGGAGCUCUAGCGCUAAUAAAAUACUAUUACUCCUAUUAUUUUUUUACUUAUUUAAUAGAGCGGGGCUAGAUUUAUAUUUAAUUUUUAAUAUUAAAGUCCUUCGCGGGCUAACCUAGGUCGGAGAUAUUAUUAAAUAGGGAGUUUAGCUAAGGUAGUAUAUCUAUUAAACUAUAAUAUAGGUAUCUUAAAGGGGGCUUAUAGAGAAUAGAAAUCUUUAAUAGAAUAAAAAGGUAAAAGUCCCUUUAAUUUUAAUUUUUAAUAUAAAUAUAAACUAUAAAAGUAUAGCUUAUCGAUCCUUUAGUCCCUCGGAGUUUAAAGCUAAAGGUACUAGAAAAGUUAUUAUAGGGAUAACUAGCUUAUAGCGGCUAAGCGUUUAUAGUGAUAUUGCUUUUUAAUCCUUUAAUAUUAGCUCUUCCUAUUAUAUUAAAGUAGAAUUCGGUAAGUAUUAGAUUAUUUACUUAUUAAUAGGGAAUAUAAGCUAGGUUUAGAUUAUCGUAAAAUAGGUUAGUUUUACUUUAUUAAUAAUCUUAUUAUAAUAGUAAUUAAGCUUAGUAUAAGAGGAAUUGCUUAUUUAGAUAAUUAGUUUUUAUAGCUAUCCGACUAAGUAAUAUUACGAAGCUAUUAUCUAUUAAAUAAUAGCUAAACGCCUCUAAAUUAGAAUCUAUACUAGAAAGCGACGACGCCUCCUAUAUAUAUAGAUAGAUACGAAUAGGCCUCUAGCUUAACGGCUUAAUAGGUAAAGAACGCUAACGCUCUAGAAAUAGGUAUUAAUACUUUACGAAUUAUAAUUUU